AACAAAACAAAAUGUUUAGAAAUUUAAUGAAAAAUAAUUUAAAAAAAUAAAUCAAAGAAAGAUAAAAUGUAGGCCCCACUUCGAAUGUGGUAUGAUCGUAUGCAGGCCGAGCCGAGCUACACGUGCAUAUUCAUAGGCCCAAAAGAAUGUCUUCAAAAUAAUUUUUUUUUUUUCCUAAUUUGAGACUAAACUUUUAUGAAGGCCAG
rnacentral:lncRNA from 1 species